rnacentral:rRNA from 1 species
GAGUUUGAUCAUGGCUCAGAUUGAACGCUGGCGGCAUGCCUUACACAUGCAAGUCGAACGGCAGCACGGGAGCAAUCCUGGUGGCGAGUGGCGAACGGGUGAGUAAUAUAUCGGAACGUGUCCAUGAGUGGGGGAUAGCCCGGCGAAAGCCGGAUUAAUACCGCAUAAGACCUGAGGGUGAAAGCGGGGGAUCUUCGGACCUCGCGCUGAUGGAGCGGCCGAUACCAGAUUAGGUAGUUGGUGAGGUAAAGGCUCACCAAGCCUGCGAUCUGUAGCUGGUCUGAGAGGAUGGCCAGCCACACUGGGACUGAGACACGGCCCAGACUCCUACGGGAGGCAGCAGUGGGGAAUUUUGGACAAUGGGCGCAAGCCUGAUCCAGCCAUGCCGCGUGCGGGAAGAAGGCCUUCGGGUUGUAAACCGCUUUUGUCAGGGAAGAAAUCCUUUGGGUUAAUAACUCGGAGGGAUGACGGUACCUGAAGAAUAAGCACCGGCUAACUACGUGCCAGCAGCCGCGGUAAUACGUAGGGUGCAAGCGUUAAUCGGAAUUACUGGGCGUAAAGCGUGCGCAGGCGGUUAUAUAAGACAGAUGUGAAAUCCCCGGGCUCAACCUGGGAACUGCAUUUGUGACUGUAUAGCUAGAGUACGGUAGAGGGGGAUGGAAUUCCGCGUGUAGCAGUGAAAUGCGUAGAUAUGCGGAAGAACACCGAUGGCGAAGGCAAUCCCUGGACUGUACU